rnacentral:rRNA from 1 species
CCUACGGGUGGCAGCAGUGGGGAAUAUUGGACAAUGGGCGAAAGCCUGAUCCAGCCAUGCCGCGUGUGUGAAGAAGGCCUUCGGGUUGUAAAGCACUUUCAGUGGGGAAGAAAGCCUUGGGGCUAAUACCCUCGAUGAAGGACAUCACCCACAGAAGAAGCACCGGCUAACUCCGUGCCAGCAGCCGCGGUAAUACGGAGGGUGCGAGCGUUAAUCGGAGUUACUGGGCGUAAAGCGCGCGUAGGCGGUCUGAUAAGCCGGUUGUGAAAGCCCCGGGCUCAACCUGGGAACGGCAUCCGGAACUGUCAGGCUAGAGUGCAGGAGAGGAAGGUAGAAUUCCCGGUGUAGCGGUGAAAUGCGUAGAGAUCGGGAGGAAUACCAGUGGCGAAGGCGGCCUUCUGGACUGACACUGACGCUGAGGUGCGAAAGCGUGGGUAGCAAACAGGAUUAGAUACCCUGGUAGUC